UCAAACGCCAGUUUUCGUACGAUCACUGAAGUUAAACAACGUCGAGGUUCGUUAGUACUUCGAUGGGUAACCGCUUUGAAAUACCAGUGGCUGUAAG